CUUAGCUGUCUGGGAUGUUAUCUGGCAUGGCAUCCCGUGCAGUACCCGCAGGUGUAAGAGGUGUCUUGCUGUGUGUCGGCAUUGGCGUGUCUUGGAAGAGACAUGUCGAGGCUGUUCAAAAGAGGGGGAUCGCACCAGGCUGGAAACAGAGCAGUGUAACCCUCUGCAUACGGCUGAAGAACACAAUCGCAUCUGUGCUGCUG
rnacentral:SRP_RNA from 1 species